GAUGAAGAACGUAGCGAAAUGCGAUAAGUAAUGUGAAUUGCAGAAUUCAGUGAAUCAUCGAAUCUUUGAACGCACAUUGCGCCCGCCAGUAUUCUGGCGGGCAUGCCUGUUCGAGCGUCAUUACAACCCUCAGGCCCCCGGGCCUGGCGUUGGGGAUCGGCGGAGCCCCCCGUGGGCACACGCCGUCCCCCAAAUACAGUGGCGGUCCCGCCGCAGCUUCCAUCGCGUAGUAGCUAACACCUCGCGACUGGAGAGCGGCGCGGCCACGCCGUAAAACACCCAACUCUUCUGAAGUUGACCUCGAAUCAGGUAGGAAUACCCGCUGAACUUAAGCAUAUCAAUAGGCGGAGGA
rnacentral:misc_RNA from 1 species